UGGGGAAUAUUGGACAAUGGGCGAAAGCCUGAUCCAGCAAUGCCGCGUGAGUGAUGAAGGCCCUAGGGUUGUAAAGCUCUUUUACCCGGGAAGAUAAUGACUGUACCGGGAGAAUAAGCCCCGGCUAACUCCGUGCUAG
rnacentral:rRNA from 1 species